CCUACGGGAGGCAGCAGUGGGGAAUAUUGGACAAUGGGCGAAAGCCUGAUCCAGCAAUUCCGCGUGUGUGAAGAAGGCCUUCGGGUUGUAAAGCACUUUAGUGGGGGAAGAAACAGCUUGGCCACACCAAGCCUUGACGGUACCCCAAGAAUAAGCACCGGCUAACUCUGUGCCAGCAGCCGCGGUAAUACAGAGGGUGCAAGCGUUAAUCGGAUUUACUGGGCGUAAAGGGUGCGUAGGUGGCUAUUUAAGUCGGAUGUGAAAGCCCGGGGCUCAACCUCGGAAUUGCAUUCGAUACUGAGUGGCUAGAGUUCGGUAGAGGGCGGCGGAAUUUCCGGUGUAGCGGUGAAAUGCGUAGAUAUCGGAAGGAACAUCAAUGGCGAAGGCAGCCGCCUGGGCCUGGACUGACACUGAGGCACGAAAGCGUGGGUAGCAAACAGGAUUAGAUACCCUGGUAGUCCACGCCGUAAACGAUGAGAACUUGACGUUGGUUCGUUUUACGAAUCGGUGCCGCAGCUAACGCGAUAAGUUCUCCGCCUGGGGAGUACGGCCGCAAGGUUGAAAACUCAAAUGAAUUGACGG
rnacentral:rRNA from 1 species